rnacentral:rRNA from 1 species
GGCCAGACUCCUACGGGAGGCAGCAGUGGGGAAUAUUGCACAAUGGGGGAAACCCUGAUGCAGCGACGCCGCGUGAGCGAUGAAGUAUUUCGGUAUGUAAAGCUCUAUCAGCAGGGAAGAAAAUGACGGUACCUGAAGAAGAAGCCCCGGCUAACUACGUGCCAGCAGCCGCGGUAAUACGUAGGGGGCAAGCGUUAUCCGGAUUUACUGGGUGUAAAGGGGGCGCAGACGGCGAUGCAAGCCAGGAGUGAAAGCCCGGGGCCCAACCCCGGGACUGCCCUUGGAACUGCGUGGCUGGAGUGCAGGAGGGGCAGGCGGAAUUCCUGGUGUAGCGGUGAAAUGCGUAGAUAUCAGGAGGAACACCGGUGGCGAGGGCGGCCUGCUGGACUGCAACUGACGUUGAGGCCCGAAAGCGUGGGGAGCAAACAGGAUUAGAUACCCUAGUA